UACAGAGGGUGCGAGCGUUGUUCGGAAUUAUUGGGCGUAAAGAGCUCGUAGGCGGUGUGUCGCGUCGGCCGUGAAAACCUGCAGCUUAACUGUGGGCUUGCGGUCGAUACGGGCAUCACUGGAGUUCGGUAGGGGAGACUGGAAUUCCUGGUGUAGCGGUGAAAUGCGCAGAUAUCAGGAGGAACACCGGUGGCGAAGGCGGGUCUCUGGGCCGAUACUGACGCUGAGGAGCGAAAGCGUGGGGAGCGAACAGG
rnacentral:rRNA from 1 species